ensembl:snoRNA SNORA70 Small nucleolar RNA SNORA70
CUGCAGCCAAUUAAGCCGACCGGCCCCCUCUCCCCGUGGGGGCCCGGUGUGCAGUGGCUGCGGACAGCAGCCUCCUUGGUAGUGUAUGUGGCCUGUUACCUGUACAGGCUGCCCUAAGGGACCUUGGAGACAGCC